GAAGUCGGUCAGGUAAUCGCUGUCGUUAAUCGAUAGAGGAAAGUCCGGGCUCCACAGGGCAGGGUGCCAGAUAACAUCUGGGCGGCGUGAGUCGAUGGACAGUGCCACAGAAAAUAUACCGCCUCGCUUGCGGGGUAAGGGUGAAAUGGUGCGGUAAGAGCGCACCGCGCUGUUGGUAACAACAGUGGCAGGGUAAACCCCAUCCGGAGCAAGACCAAAUAGGAACCCGCAUAGGUAUGGCCCAUACCGGGUUCGGGUAGGUCGCUAGAGGUUUACGGUGACGUAAAUCCCAGAUGAAUGAUUACCACUGAUACUUGUUAUCAGGACAGAACCCGGCUUACAGGCCGGCUUCCUUC
rnacentral:RNase_P_RNA from 1 species